rnacentral:rRNA from 1 species
AACGAACGCUGGCGGCAUGCCUAACACAUGCAAGUCGAACGAGAUCCUUCGGGGUCUAGUGGCGCACGGGUGCGUAACGCGUGGGAAUCUGCCCUUAGGUUCGGAAUAACAGUUAGAAAUGACUGCUAAUACCGGAUGAUGACGUUAAGUCCAAAGAUUUAUCGCCUGAGGAUGAGCCCGCGUAGGAUUAGCUAGUUGGUGUGGUAAUGGCGCACCAAGGCGACGAUCCGUAGCUGGCCUGAGAGGAUGAUCAGCCACACUGGGACUGAGACACGGCCCAGCCUCCUCCGGGAGGCAGGAGUGGGGAAUAUUGCACAAUGCGGGGGAGCCAGAUGCAGCAACGCCGCGCGGGGGAUGACGGCCUUCGGUUUGUAUUCCGCUUUCGCCUGUGACGAAGCGUUAGUGACGGUAAUGGGUAAAGAAGCCCCGGCUAACUCCGUG